UACGGAGGGUGCGAGCGUUAAUCGGAAUUACUGGGCGUAAAGCGUGCGCAGGCGGUUUGUUAAGCGAGAUGUGAAAGCCCCGGGCUCAACCUGGGAACCGCAUUUCGAACUGGCAAGCUAGAGUCUUGUAGAGGGGGGUAGAAUUCCAGGUGUAGCGGUGAAAUGCGUAGAGAUCUGGAGGAAUACCGGUGGCGAAGGCGGCCCCCUGGACAAACACUGACGCUCAGGCACGAAAGCGUGGGGAGCAAACAGG
rnacentral:rRNA from 1 species